rnacentral:lncRNA from 1 species
UCCUGGGAGGGAAACGGUGAUCCAUCUGCAGAAGCCCCUGGCCAUGGUGGCAGCCAAUGGCUGGAUGUGAAAUUCAAGCUAGACGUGGACAUUCCUAAUCUGCCUUACCUCACAGAUGGGAAGAACAGGAUCGUCCACAAUCCUGGACAUCCUGGAUCGUCCCGCGGCGCUCACAAGCACGCUUCUUCAGAGUGCUGAGACUGAAGAAGGAAAGGUGCCAGGAGACAUCAGGGAGGACCAAAUGGUGGAAUACCACCUGCAGCUGAAACAGCUCCACCAUGACCCUGACAUGAAACAUGGAAGCCUCCAUACUCGGAACUGCAACCUGGGCAGCUGAAACAUUUCUCCUUGUUUCUGAGGAAGUCAUGGUUUCCAGGGGGAAAGCUCACCUUUUUGGAUAUUCUUACCUGUGAUGUCUUAGAUCAGAACUGUAUGUUUGAGCUCAAGUGCCUGUAUGAGUUCCCAAAUCUGAGGACUUCAUGCACCACAUUGCAGCUUUGGAGGAAAGAGCUGCCCCUGUGCAAUCUGCCUGUUCUUCGGGAUGCCAGUCAGCAGCGAGAUGGCCCAGUGGGGA